rnacentral:rRNA from 1 species
CAGCCGCCGCGGGAAUACAGAGGGUGCGAGCGUUAAUCGGAUUUACUGGGCGUAAAGCGUGCGUAGGCGGCUAAUUGAGUCGGAUGUGAAAUCCCCGAGCUUAACUUGGGAAUUGCAUUCGAUACUGGUUAGCUAGAGUGUGGGAGAGGAUGGUAGAAUUCCAGGUGUAGCGGUGAAAUGCGUAGAGAUCUGGAGGAAUACCGAUGGCGAAGGCAGCCAUCUGGCCUAACACUGACGCUGAGGUACGAAAGCAUGGGGAGCAAACAGGAUUAGAUACCCGAGUAGUCCCUGUCUCUUAUAA